CCCAAAUCAGGGCGAACCAGGCAGGGCUGGGGCAGCCCCUGUGGGACAUCAGCCCCAGCUGGGUGAUGCUGGGGCAGAGACCAGAGCCACACCAGCAGCCACCUGCAAGCGAUUGGGGGCUGGGGGCCCUUAUAAGCAGCAGGGGAACUGCCCCCAGCUGGGUGCUUUGGCAUUUUCCGGCCCCAAGGGAUGGCAGCUUAUGUUUGGGGGUGCCAAGGAGCCGGCCUGGCCACGCCACGCGCCGCCUGGUUUCCUCCUUGGCUGUGCCAGACCCUUCCCCGCCAGCUGAGCUUGAGGUGUUGGUAAUUUGGCAAAACACGAGGAGGAGGAGGGCGGCAGCCUCCCCAGCAGCGAGCUUCCUCGUGGCCGCAAUUAAGGCACGUAUGGAGUUGGGAACAGCACCAAACCGACGCGUGGCUGAACCGAACCCACCGUGAGAAGUGUCACCCUGCUCCCACACAGAAAUCACACUUCCCUGCCAGGCACGCUCGCCGCCUGUCUCUGGGCUAUUUUUGCCGCAUCCUUUUGGAGGCACAGCAGCCAGAACCGAGCACGGCGACUUCAGCAUUCAAAGGCAGACCGUAAGCUUUAAUGGAGCUGGUGGCAUUAUAAUAUUUGCACUCGCCUUCCCCACCGCUUUCCUAAUAUAGCCCGACACCGGCCGGGAUUUUCAACUGUGGCGGCGCGCGGAGCAGCUCCCUGCUGUCCUGUCACCCCCGACCUGGCAGGUGGGUACAAUUUUCCAUCAAAACUACUAUAUCUGGCAAAGCCUGAAAUUAAAAAAAUAAUAAUAGAGUGAUUCAGAGGCUGUUGGCUCCCAGGGCAGCGAGGUGCCAUGGGCAGCGUUCCCACCAGAGGUACCAGCGCGCUGGGCGGGCAGGUCUCGUGCUGCGGGAUGCUGCGUGGGGGCGCAGGCAGUGAGCUCUUCCAUCACUUGGCCGGAAAAAUAUGAUGUCCCACGCUAGGAUGGAGUCGGUCCCAGCAGGACCACCGCCGUGCCCUGUUCUGCCACCUGGCAAGCACCUCCUCACCCCUCCAGGGACGUGCACGCGAGAGACGGGAGCGGAGCGAGGUGAUGCGCGGUGCCGUGGCACGGCUUGCCCUCGACGUUCUUCAACCCCCCGGGCGCUGGAGCAGCGUGGAGCUGAUAGAAAGCAGAU
rnacentral:lncRNA from 1 species